GACGAACGCUGGCGGCGUGCUUAACACAUGCAAGUCGAACGGAAAGGCCCUGCUUUUGUGGGGUGCUCGAGUGGCGAACGGGUGAGUAACACGUGAGUAACCUGCCCUUGACUUUGGGAUAACUUCAGGAAACUGGGGCUAAUACCGGAUAGGAGCUCCUGCUGCAUGGUGGGGGUUGGAAAGUUUCGGCGGUUGGGGAUGGACUCGCGGCUUAUCAGCUUGUUGGUGGGGUAGUGGCUUACCAAGGCUUUGACGGGUAGCCUGCCUGAGAGGGUGACCGGCCACAUUGGGACUGAGAUACGGACCAGACUCGUACGGGAGGCAGCAGUGGGGAAUAUUGCACAAUGGGCGGAAGCCUGAGGCAGCAACGCCGCGUGCGGGAUGACGGCCUUCGGGUUGUAAACCGCUUUCGCCUGUGACGAAGCGUGAGUGACGGUAAUGGGUAAAGAAGCACCGGCUAACUACGUG
rnacentral:rRNA from 1 species